AUGACGGCUUGCGUUCAGAUUGUUUUGGGGACGAUAAAAACUUGCCUUCCAUGCUUGGAAUACCAGAGGUCCCUCCUACCCUACUGGGCCUACCCUUCCCUGAAUAAAGAAUGCAUCUCCCGGAGCAGCUCGGAGAGAGAUGGUUAGGAGCCACAGCUCCUCCCAACACUGACGCCCUCAUACCUCUCAUUUUACAUGGUAUGGUGUGAGGGAGCCCAAUAUGAGAUCUUUUGGUCCUGAAUGCUGAAGGUGAAGGGGAGAGUGGAUUAAGUUGAGCCAUUUUUUACAAUCAGCAUCAUUCCAUUAAGGUAAAUUGAGCUGCAGGACAAGGUAAGUUAAGCCGCCGACAAAUGUCUUAACUGAAUUAAUUAUUACCACUACCAUUUUAAAA